GGGCUGGACCUCUCGGGGUUACAGCCUUGCUGAAUUAUUCACCCUUGUCUUUUGCGUACUUCUUGUUUCCUUGGUGGGUUCGCCCACCACUAGGACAAACAUAAACCUUUUGUAAUUGCAAUCAGCGUCAGUAACAAAUUAAUAAUUACAACUUUCAACAACGGAUCUCUUGGUUCUGGCAUCGAUGAAGAACGCAGCGAAAUGCGAUAAGUAGUGUGAAUUGCAGAAUUCAGUGAAUCAUCGAAUCUUUGAACGCACAUUGCGCCCUUUGGUAUUCCAAAGGGCAUGCCUGUUCGAGCGUCAUUUGUACCCUCAAGCUUUGCUUGGUGUUGGGCGUCUUGUCUCUAGCUUUGCUGGAGACUCGCCUUAAAGUAAUUGGCAGCCGGCCUACUGGUUUCGGAGCGCAGCACAAGUCGCACUCUCUAUCAGCAAAGGUCUAGCAUCCAUUAAGCCUUUUUUUCAACUUUUGACCUCGGAUCAGGUAGGGAUACCCGCUGAACUUAAGCAUAUCAAUAAGCGGAGG
rnacentral:rRNA from 1 species